CAUGCCGCUGAGGAGGGCUUCGCCGAUCUUGCCGGUGCCGAGGACUGCGACUUUCUGGGUCAUGGGUUCGGUGCCCUUCGGAGUGU
rnacentral:tRNA from 1 species